CCUUCGAUAGCUCAGUUGGUAGAGCGGAGGACUGUAGAUCUUUAGGUCGCUGGUUCGACUCCGGCUCGAAGGA
rnacentral:tRNA from 1 species